rnacentral:sRNA from 1 species
GGAGGAAGAAGAGGAAGAAGAAGAAGUAGAAGUCAUUAUGACCUCUGUGUACAGCACAGGGAGCUUCGACCUACUGCAGCCCCAACACUGCUUACGGAUUGAUGGAAGAAAACUGCAGCUCUGCGUUCGGAGGACAGCAGCAUCUCCCGUCACCCCUGGACACCUUCCAUUGCAGAGGCUUCUAACUUCCUGAGCAGUUAUGGAGUAAAGGAAUACCAGGCCCUGUGCAGAUCUGUCGUGAGCCUGAUUAUACAGCCCUCCUGGGAACCUGUCUUCUUGCUGCUUCAUAAAGGCUGGGGCUUCUCUCUUUGUUUCCCAUGUAGAGGUGGGGGCUUUGGGGCUGGCCCCUUCUCUGUGAAUUAUUUGCAACCUUUUCCUGCUCCCCUCACCCCACCUCCACCCUCCGUACUAUGACCCUGGGAAGCUGGGAGGGGCUGGAGGGGUGGAAACUGGGAUUCUUGGCAGCUCCUCGCUCCAGUGGUAUGAUCAGGUUGGCCAAGGUAGAGUACACCAGCUAUGAGCUCUACCUCCCUGGUGGUAGGUUUGGGGCUGAUAAGAACCCUGCUUCCUGCUGCUCUGCUCCCUAGAGCACUCCAGAGGCCCACUGUGCCCCUUAAUCCUGUUCUGCGUUUUCAGAUAGCUGCCGCUUCGUGACUAAAGGCCCUGAGGCAUUUCUUUCCUAAGGGGAAGCUGACUGGCACUGUUAAUGCCUCGCACACACACACCACACUGCCACCACCCCCUGGCUACUGUGUGUAGGCUGUCUGUGAAGUAUGAUAAAAAAAAAAUCAAUCAGAACCAAAGAUAAAGAUACAGGAGCAAAGAGGUUUUACUUGGAGAAAGUAGAAACAGAGCAACCUACACGUGUUGCCAUCCCCCUCUAAGAAGAAAACCAGCCAGCACUGGUACACCACGCUCUCCUAGAGCUGACCAGACCCAUCUUGAAGAAAGAUGAUGAGAACCAGGCACUGGGACAGCCAGCCUCAAGAUCUGGACCACAGGGACAUCCGCCAAUUCUGGAUUGCAGGUCACUCCAGAGGCCAAGAAGCAGCAGCACAGGGGUGAAGUCUGUGACCAGGAGCCUGAGAUCAGGGCAGCUCCCAGCCCCAUGCCCGACAUAUGGCCAACAGACACCUGGUUUUAGUCACACCCUGUAAAACCCAGCUGAGACUGAGGGAAACCUGCCACCAGUUCCUGGAUUAGAAGAGGGAAGGCUGUGAUGUCUAUCCAGUGGUUCUCCAUAUGAGCCUCAGGGUCUCUUCUUAAAGCCUGGGCUGGCUACAAAACAAUUCCCCUGCCUCAGUCCCUGAGUGUUGGCGUUAUAGAUAUUUGCUACCAUACUUGGCCUCAGAGAGGCCGCACGGCCCUUCGGGUCUCACCCUGACUAGACCGUGUCUUCGCUGUCUGGCUGUUCAAGGAUAAGCAAGGACAUUUCCUCAUGGGAGGCUCCUGCGACUUAAGGGAGCUGAGGCUCCAGACAAAACCAUCAGGGGUCUGAGGAAUCCACUGGGACUCGAUGGAUGAAUGAGCUGGCUCCUCCAACAUUUGUUUUGCAUAAAGGCCAUUAUUCAACUACACUUAAGAUGCAAGCCGUUCUUUACUCCCCCUGCUGUAGCUUUAAGACGAAUGGAAGAAAUAAUUGUUCUAACAGGCAUAUGAAUUAUGUGCUGAAACUUAAAUUUGAUUACUGCUUCAUA